UACGGAGGGUGCAAGCGUUGCUCGGAAUUAUUGGGCGUAAAGGGUAGGUAGGUGGUCUCGUUUGUCAGGGGUGAAAGCCUUGGGCUUAACUCAAGAAGUGCCCCUGAAACGGCGAGACUCGAGUACUGGAGAGGGUCGUGGAAUUCCCGGUGUAGCGGUGAAAUGCGCAGAUAUCAGGAGGAACACCAAUGGCGAAGGCAGCUCGCUGGGACGGUACUGACGCUGAGGCGCGAAAGCGUGGGGAGCAAACAGG
rnacentral:rRNA from 1 species